rnacentral:lncRNA from 1 species
GCCGACUUUCAGUCACCAUACAACUUUUAAAACAACAAAAGAUUUCUCUUUGUUUUACAAAAACAUGAUAGUUCCGAGUGAAAUACUGCAUAGAAUUCACGGAAUAACCCUGAUGCACACAGAGAACCACAUUCACUGUUUAAAAACAGUGGAAGAUAUUAACAUAGGAACUAGAGCCGAGAGCCUUCACGAUCAGCCAGCUGCAGGUCAGACCUGAACUACAAACCUGAUCUUAGAUAGGCCAAAGUGCCUACCCUGCCAGCAAGGGGUAGCUGUUAGCCUGGGCACAUUUUUAAUUAAAAACAGGGAGAGAAGACUUAUAAACUUCAGUAAUUUUCUUCCCAAACACGCAGGGAUGCACUUCACUGAACACUCAUUACGUGAGACGUAAUUUUACCUUUAUGUCCUUUACCUACACUGGCAUCGACGGAGGCCACAGCGCACCGCGCUCCUUGAGAAAAUCCCCGGCCUCAGCCCUACUGAGGUCGAAAGUCGGUGACGGAAAGAAAAACGAACGGAGCGGACCGAGGGCGAUGUCCCCGCCGCAGCCCGGUGUGCCCGCCCGCCGGUCCCCGUGCGGGGCGGCGGCGCUCCCGCUCCCGCCCGGGAAACUUUCGGGUUGCGCCGCUCUCCGGCCGGGAGGCGCUGCCCGCCUUCCCCCGGCGCUGCCCCGCAGCCGCCGGAUACGCCGCCUCCAUUCACCGGAGCCCCGCGAGGGGUGCGGGGGGGUGGCGUCCCGGCCCGGCGCUGCCCCCCGGCCGGGCGGCACAAAGCAGCGGCUGUCACACGCACACGAGCAGCAACUCGGGAGGAUGAGGAGGAGCCGCCCCCGAGCCCCCCCGCAACUGGACGUGGCACAACGAACACUCCUCCCGCUCCGGGCCCCCCGUGCCGCCCCCGGCAGGUACCGGCCCCCUCCUGCGCGGGGCGGCCGCGGAGCCUCGGCCGCACAGAUCGCUCAGGAAAAGACCAUUUCCUCUGCCCUCACCCUGAAGAACAGUUUAAUUUACCUUAGGAGUUUCCCAGCAGACCACAGGGAGCCCUGCAGAGGGUCAGGGCUUGAGGUGCCUAACACUGCACUGCCUUGUGCUUUAGUGUCAGUAACUUUGAAAUUGUUUACGGAAAAGCUCAUGGCUCCCACUGAUUUCAUCUGCUCUUGCAAUUUCACUAUGAGUCAUCCAAUAUGCAGUGUGUUCCUUGCAGAGCACACAUGGAGCCUGUGGAUACCAGCACCAAAGCGUUCAGCUAAGGACAGAGAAGACAGGCAACAUGUGCCUCUCCUCCUUUCCCAGUUUUGCAUCCUGCUUAUACCAGCUCUGGCCCUAACUGGACCCUCCCUUUGACUCACUAGUGUGGCAUAAAGCUAUGUAGGAUUUGCUGUUGUUUGUUUUCUUCCCGGUUGUUGAACCUGAGGUGACUCUAAUACAAAGCCAGCAUGUGAGUGCUGGUGUCACCAUAAGACACAGAGAGAAACUCUGUGGUGUCAGCGUUGUGAGAGAUGGGU